ensembl:lncRNA
GGAAAUCACUGGAUGAGAUCGAAAUUGAAGAUGAAAUUGCAUUAAGUGAUGCUGAAACAAAGGACAGUGAGAGUGAAUCAGAUGAUGAUGACACAGCACUCACAAUGUCAGCGUGUGGCACCAGUGAGCCUGUACAUGCAGUAGCUGAUUCCACAAACACAGCGCAGCUACAAGACGCUGUAGAUUGUGCAGAUGAAGAACCACUCAUAAUGCCUGCAGCAGUGAGACUGCUGCUCCCUCUGAAGAUAAAAAUGCUGCUCAAUCCCACAAUUCCCGAAGAGCUCCCAAAAACAUGUGGUCCAAGGCGGAGGUUGCUGCAGUGAUGAGGCAUUUUAAAGACCACAUAAACGAAGGGAAACUGGCCACCAAAAAUGAAUGCAGUCAUUGCAAAUUGGUAGAAGAUCCGGUGUUGGCAGGAAGAACAGUUCAAAACAUAAGAGAUUUUGUAAGAAACAGAGGAUUAACUGCAAAAAGGCAGAAAAAAAUGAACUAAAAUAACUGUUUAGCCAGAUGUGGUUUUACAUCUUGGUCAGAUUGCCGAACUGUUGUUAAAACUGACUUAUUGUGCAGCAGGCUGCCUCACUGAUGUUCUGUUUAAAGAAAAAGUUCUUGUUAAUUACAGAAGUAGUUUGUAUUUCAUAACUUUUAAAUUUAAUUUAUUUAGUUUUUUUUUGACAGGUUCUUUAAUAUAUAUUUUUUGACCGGUUAUAUUGAAAAUAAAAAAAAUAUAAAUGCAUAUUUUCUCCCUUA